UGACAUAUGCAGGCCUAUAUAAAGGACGGCAGCGCUACGGUCAUUCUUUACUUCUUCUUGUCUGGAACUGAAGCGGUGUGGCGGAUGGAGAACGUGGAGAUGGAAAGGGAGCAAAAGCGGCCUCUCUUCCUAAAAAGUCGUGCAGAUAUGAUUAUAUGGAGUCGUUCAAUUAGGUUUUUCUUCCAUAAUCUUCGUCGAUCCUGAUCUUUUCAAGAAUGAGCCGGAUUUUGUUGAGGUGGCAUGCAAGUGGAGUCUAUAUAUAAAGUGACCAGGUGUCCACAGUGAAAAAUGGUAGAACUGCAGUUCCAAAUGGGAAUUAAUUCUGCACCAUGGUCUGCUUUUUCACAUGUAUUGGUGGAAAUCCUGUUGCAUUUAUACAGUAAGAGGUUCCUAUUGCCUGAAGAGUGCUCAGCUGCCAUGGCACCAUAGAAAGUGGUUCUGGAAAGCUCCUAACAUCAUGAUCAAUCUCCAUUAAGAGCUUUUAGUUGAGGGGAAAAUACAUACCUGGAAUUGUUUACAAGCAUCUUGUAUGAAGACUGACUCGGGUUUUCACAUAAUGGAUCAUGAACAUUGGAGUGGCAAAUGAGUGAGCAGAUUCUCUUCUCUGGCAUUACAUAAUCGCUCAGUGUCUAGAACACUUCAAGCAGUCAUGAGUGUUAAAUGGAUUUCUGGGAUGUGUAGCUGACAAUAUUUGCACAUAAAUAAUCCACUUCUUUGUAGCCUGGAUAAUUCAAGAUUGAUGUGACCUAAUUUGUAAAUCACUAUGUAAAUCUUAGUGCUGUAUAAAUAAAUUAUUGAAAAGUG